UGGGGAAUAUUGGACAAUGGGGGCAACCCUGAUCCAGCAAUGCCGCGUGAGUGAAGAAGGCCUUAGGGUUGUAAAACUCUUUCACUGAUGAAGAUGAUGACGGUAAUCAGAGAAGAAGCCCCGGCUAACUCCGUGCCAGCAGCCGCGGUAAUACGGAGGGGGCUAGCGUUGUUCAGAAUUACUGGGCGUAAAGCGCACGUAGGCGGCGUAUCCAGUCAGGGGUGAAAGGCCUGGGCUCAACCCGGGAACGGCCUUUGAUACUGAUAUGCUUGAGUACGGGAGAGGGUAGUGGAAUUCCCAGUGUAGAGGUGAAAUUCGUAGAUAUUGGGAAGAACACCGGUGGCGAAGGCGGCUACCUGGCCCGGGACUGACGCUGAGGUGCGAAAGCGUGGGGAGCAAACAGGAUUAGAUACCCGCGUAGUCC
rnacentral:rRNA from 1 species